CCCUUAGAUGUUCUGGGCCGCACGCGUGCUACACUGAGUGGAUCAGCGGGUCAGGUUGCGCGAAAGUGUUUCCUAAUCUUGAAAUCCGCUCGUGAUGGGGAUCGACGGUUGCAAUUUUCCGUCAUGAACGAGGAAUACCUUGUAAGCGCGGGUCAUCAUCCCGCGCUGAAUACGUCCCUGCCCUUUGUACACACCGCCCGUCGCUCCUACCGAUUGAGUGGUCCGGUGAGGCUUUGGGAUCUGAGCAAAAAGAGCGUUUCGCUCGUUUGGCUCGGAAAACUCAGUCGAACCUUAUCAUUUAGAGGAAGGAGAAGUCGUAACA
rnacentral:rRNA from 1 species